ACGCACACGAGUUACUUGUGAAUAUGCUGUGCUGUGCCAGCUGAAGGAGGAGGGAAUGAUACUGAAGACACUCGGGGUGAACUAUACCUGCCCUGUUUCCCAGCUGGAGUUCCAGCUUGUCUCAGUGCGCACAUGUACCAGGGCGAAAAGGUUGAAUGAAUUCACAUGUGCGGGCUGCAAAGGCCUCUACAGCUCAAAAGUGGAGCAGUUCCACACACUGCCUCUUGUGCUGGUUCUGCACCUGAAGAGGUUCGGAGGACCUGGGG